CUUUCCACCUCGGAAACCAGCACGUAUAGACGCACAGGCACACGCGCGCACUUCCACAGCGAUAUCUUCGACACUCAUGUCGCCACGGAGACACCAGCAGCAGUGCCGCCCCCCCCCUCACACAUCCUCUUGCGUUCUGCUUGCUUUUCUCAUAGAUCUAUAGAGGCGCGCGUCGACUCUGCCGUCAGAACAAACGCGCGCACACUUGCGAAGGUAGGUAGGCGUGCACACCCCUGCGCUCUGCGCCUCGACGCCCUGGUAGGCUGCAAGCGAGAGCGCAAGCCUUCUGCGACUUGAUGAGUCGUUCACGGCAUCCCUCGCUACCCUCGUCGUUACCCGCUCCCUCGCCCUGCAGGUAUGCCGCGGCCUCGCGGCGGAAGCGGGUCGUAUCCGCUGCCGGCGCCACAGCGCGAUGCCUCUCCACCACCGGCGCUGCCGCUUUGUGCGGCUCAGGCCCCGCGCAGCACGCCAUGGCGCGUCUUCGGCGCCGAGAUCACCAACCAUAUUCCUACCCCUCCACCGCCGCAAAUGCCGUCGCCGCCGACAGCAGCUGCACCGUUGGGUGUGGCGACAGCAACUCUGUGCGGUGUGGCUGUCGAUGCGCCCCCGAGCCACGCUACUCGUGCGCCAACGUCAUCGUCCAGCUGGCUGGCAGCUGACCCUUGUCGUCGUCUCCGCAGUAGUGGCGACGACGUCGAGUGCAUCCCCUCUUACGAGACGCUACUUGGCGCCAUUCGUGGCGCACGCAUGCCACAAGGACCGCCUCCGCUGGAAGGUGCCCGCCCGUGCUCGCGCUCAUCCAGCAGCAGCGACGCCAGUCUCAGCAAACUUUUCCCUCCGUGGACAGCAGGGGGCGAGGGACGGCAGUCGUGCCUUGAGCCCACCUGCGGCGGCGCGGGCUUCCAAACAGAGGCCUCGACGCCGCCUGCGUCGAAUGCGAAGCGGCGGUUCAGAGACGUCGAAACCGAGGACGGAGGCAGCCGAGCUGGCCCCGAUUCUUCAUGGCCGCGGGCGAAGCACCAGCGUGGGGAGGAAGCCGCUGUUGGCAGCCUCACCGGUGCCCACCCGGCCCCUCCUAUGCAAGAGGGGGGCAUGCGCGACCCAAGCGGUGCGGACAGCAUCUGCGGUGGCGGCGACGUGGAUGUCCGACCCACUCUUCAUACGCUCUCCUCCGAGGACGACGGAGACCCUUGGAGCGCGCGCGGCGGCGUUUGCGGCUUCCUAACCCCGCUGUCGACGAAGCUGUUGUGCCUGCCUCCCGUGGCGUUGAUGCCGCUGCCGCCAUCACAGCAUCUUCACGCGCGCGCGUGCCGUCCAGCAAGUUUGCUUGAUAGAGAGCAUGCUGUACCGGCUUGGCAGGUGCUGGCCUCGGCGUCAACAGCGGCUGAGGAGGAGCAGAGGGAGGGGGUUGGCCGUGUUGCGUCGACAUCCAGCAACACGACUCUGUAUACCCCUGCCCGAGGCAACGUGCACCUCCGCAGUGCCGUUGACGACGCCAUCGUCUAUUCGCCACUGACGCUGGAUGACAUCAGUCCCAUUUUGUGUCUCUCCGAGGAACGGCUUGCGCACCGUCGGAUGCGCGUGGUGGAGUGCGACCGGCGCCCAUCAGCCGAAGUGGACGACGAGGAGCACUGGGCGGACGAAGCGUUUGCUGCAACAUCGCCGUCUACUCCACCUCGUCCAUUUCGUGCGCUGACACCCGCCGAGAGUCGUGGGGACGAGGAGGACAUAAGCGGUAUGGCGCCGGAUCUGCCCACCCAGUACCCCGCAGGUAGCGUCUGCUUUCUUCACGAGGAGGCACUUCGGCUGCUCACUUUUACGUGCGAGGACGAACAUGACCAUCUGCUGCAACGACCCGGUGAGGGAAGUGGGCGAGGAGCGAGCUGUCGGUGUGGCAGCGACCUGGGCAAGUCACCGUGCACUCGAUAGAUAGAUGGAUCCAGGGGGAGGCAGGGGAGGGGGCAGCCUCAAGCGGAGGCACACGGACAAAGAAACAGGAGCGAAGGGCGCUGUUACAGCAUCCGUCGAAGCAUUGAUGCGUAUGCUCGGCAGUGGAUGCUGACGCAGAGGCGAGUUGCAGGAGCUGCGUGUGCGUGUGCUGCUGAUGCGCUGAGAGCUGUCCCAUAAGCCCGGCCAAGAAACGAAAAGAAAGGUGGCGCCCCAUAUCGCGGCGCGCCACUACUGCUUGACCCCCACUCCCUCGUUCGUCCUUUGGCAUCACAAACGUUAGUGGUGCCCAGGCUCGUAUCUCUGGUGCACGUAUGUGUAUGUGAGGGUGGGGGAGGGGCGAAGAGCUGUGAAGGUGGACAGUCGCCAUUCUACUGCUCCCCUCCUCCACCUUUCCUUGCCCGCCCCUCGCCACUGCGUGCUUCGGUGGCACGGGCUCGGUGAAGAUACCCUCUUUCUCUGCUGUCGUGUCUUCGAUGCUGAAGAACUACCGCUUCACCGCCAAGUGUCGGCACCCACAUGCAAACAUAGGGAGCCAAAGAGUCGCCAGUGCCGUUGUACGCGCAGUCUUCUGUAGGCCUGCCUGGCUUCUCUGCUGUGUCUCUCUCUCCUGUUCUCCCAAGGGGGGGAGUGUGUCUGUACGCAUACUGCGGAGCUUGACCCAUCGGUGCAUCUCCUCCGCCAUUCACCACACGCAUCCCCCACCAAAUCCAUGAGCUCACACAUGUAUCCGCGUACGCGUGUAGCUCCUUCUGCUCUCUCUCUCGCCGACAACUUCUUCUCGCCUUCACGCGUUGCCCUCUCUGUUUCUCCGCUCUUGAUAUAUGUGCUGCGUUGAAG
rnacentral:misc_RNA from 1 species